rnacentral:lncRNA from 1 species
CGGCUUGCAUCUCUCAUCUCCUUUGAUAGUCACCUCCCUUGAGAGGCACUCAGCCAACCACCCUGCAUGCUCAGCCCCUCGGGAGCAAUCUUGAAAGCGAUCCUUCCUGGAAGUCAUCCAGCCUGGGUUAAGAUGACCUUUGCUGGAACUGGUGAGCAUAAUGAAAUUGCGUGCCUGUGUUUUUAUGCUCUGCAUUUCAUGGCUUAUGUGAGAAAUCUUCUUUCAGAAGAAAAAUGUUCAGGAAGAUGAAUGCCUCCGUUGACGCUUGUGAAAACAAGCGCUAAGAGAAACAGAAAAAUGACUUCGUAAUGAUGCUGUUAAAAACACAGCUUUUCCA